CAGUCGCCGCGGGAAUACGAAGGGGGCUAGCGUUGCUCGGAAUCACUGGGCGUAAAGGGCGCGUAGGCGGCUGAUUUAGUCGAGGGUGAAAGCCCGUGGCUCAACCACGGAAUGGCCUUCGAUACUGAUUGGCUUGAGACCGGAAGAGGACAGCGGAACUGCGAGUGUAGAGGUGAAAUUCGUAGAUAUUCGCAAGAACACCAGUGGCGAAGGCGGCUGUCUGGUCCGGUUCUGACGCUGAGGCGCGAAAGCGUGGGGAGCAAACAGGAUUAGAUACCCGCGUAGUCCCUGUCUCUUAUAC
rnacentral:rRNA from 1 species